GUUGUUCGGAUUUACUGGGCGUACAGGGAGCGUAGGCGGUUGGAUAAGCCCUCCGUGAAAUCUCCAGGCUUAACCUGGAAAGUGCAGAGGGGACUGUUCAGCUAGAGGAUGGGAGAGGAGCGCGGAAUUCCCGGUGUAGCGGUGAAAUGCGUAGAGAUGUGGAGGAACACCGAUGGCGAAGGCAGCCCCCUGGGCUAACACUGACGCUCAUGCACGAAAGCGUGGGGAGCAAACAGG
rnacentral:rRNA from 1 species